rnacentral:lncRNA from 1 species
UAUACAUAAUAUACAAUAUAUAUUAUUAGAAAAUAUAUAAGGGAAUAUAUAUACAUAACAUACAAUAUAUACUACAAGAAAAUAUAUAAGGGAAUAUAUAUACAUAACAUACAAUAUAUACUACAAGAAAAUAUAUAAGGGAAUAUAUAUACGUAACAUACAAUAUAUAAUAUUAGAAAAUAUAUAAGGUAAUAUAUAUACAUAACAUACAAUAUAUACUACAAGAAAAUAUAUAAGGUAAUAUAUAUACAUAACAUACAAUAUAUACUAUUAGAAAAUAUAUAAGGUAAUAUAUAUACAUAACAUACAAUAUAUACUAUUAGAAAAUAUAUAAGGGAAUAUAUAUACAUAACAUACAAUAUAUACUACAAGAAAAUAUAUAAGCUAUAAU